GUGCCAGCAGCCGCGGUAAUACAGAGGGGGCAAGCGUUGUCCGGAAUUACUGGGCGUACAGCGCACGCAGGUGGCGGUGCAAGUGUGGUGUGAAAGCCCCGCGCUCAACGCGGGGAGGCCAGCACAGACUGGAUCGCUGGAGGGGUGCAGAGGGUUGGGGAAUUGCCGGUGUAGUGGUGAAAUGCGUAGAGAUCGGCAGGAACACCAAGGACGAAGGUACCAACCUGGGCACCACCUGACACUCAGGUGCGAGAGCGUGGGGAGCGAACCGGAUUAGAUACCCGGGUAGUCCACGCCGUAAACGAUGGAUGCUCGGCGACUGGUGGGGAAACCUGCUGGGCGCCUCAGCUGACGCGCAAGCAUCCCGCCUGGGAAGUACGAGCGCAAGCUUAAAACUCAAAUGAAUUGACGG
rnacentral:rRNA from 1 species